rnacentral:misc_RNA from 1 species
UUGCCUUUAGUGACCGGUCAGCUGAAAUAUAUUCACGCAUUGGAGGCUGCUUUUCUACCAAAGGAAAGGCGAGUUCCGAUUUGGUAGGUGACCUUUGCCGGUUACAUGCCUUCGUUGCCCGCUUUGCCUCUAACAUGCGUUGUGCAGGACGCCUUUUGGCUUUCGACCUGAGGUCAGGCAAGAACACCCGCUGAACUUAA